CAUUGUGUGUUAGUUACUUUGGAGACUUGAGUGAGAACGUACGUUCUGUGGAAAGUGUUCGUGAAUUACUUGUGCUAGAAUAUUGGCUUGAAUACUUCUAAAGCCGUUAAGUUAUGAUUAAAUUUAUUCAAUUUUGUGGAUCUUUCUUUUUGUGUUAAAAUAUUUGUUAACACAAUUGAGUUCUCAAUUGUGUUGUGUUAUAUGGAGUUUCUUUGUAGUAAAAUCCAACUUAACAUUCGUGUAACUUAAGAAAUCGCUGUCCGUGAUCGAGGUGACAUCCUAGAGGGACCAUUCUUGUAGUGAUGGCUGACUGUAGAAUUAAGUGAUCUUAGUAAUUCAUACUAUGAGGCCAGGAUGGAUCAAUACCCUUCUAGUUCGACUGACAGACUACAGAAAGUGAGAGUCCACCGUACUUCAUGAGAGUUUUCAAUGCUGUUUUAGAACAAAUCUAGCUACGAUAGAACUUUUUGGCUGUUUAACUGUGAGAUUAACCUCCCAUAAAGUUUCUAAGUAUUUAAAUUUGCAUAGUGCUUUGAGUUGAGCUAUGAUGCUAAUUAGUAAAUACUAUAAAGUCUUCUUAGCCACAAUGUGACUGGUAAAGAAAUGUCUGACGCUUAAUGGAACUCUAUGGCCACGCAAGACAGAAAAACUAGUAAAAACUAAAGCAAGACUGAGGAAAACAUUAAACAUUUAAAAAUUUAUGAAGAGAUGUACAUCAGUAGAAAAUAAAUACUUGAAAGAUAUCCUAACGAUGAACAAAACAUGAAGCGAUGAACAAAUGUACUUUUUCAUAAUUUAAUGGUAUAAUAAUUUUACUUCAAAAAUAUUAAUUAGAGAGAUUUAUCGUAUGGAACGAAUGAGGCGGUCCGGUGGACGAGGCGAUAACAGCGCCGGUCUUCACACGGCAGGACCGGGGUUCAAAUCCCAUCCUGACCGCCUCCCCGUGCGUUGGGCUGACUACUUUACUAAGGGUAAAAAUAAUUCACAGAAAGCCAGAAAUGGAAGGCCGAGACCUCUAGAAGUUGCAGUGCCAAGGAAGAAGAAGAAGAACGUAUGGAAGCUGCUUCAGAGCUGUUUAAAAGUGUCUCGAACUAAGAUGUCGCGUAUCGACUGCCAAUCGCCAAUUAAAUCGGUAAUCUUCAACAUACACAAAUUAACCUGACUUUUACUGGAACUGUGACACACAUCGAACCGAGAAUUUAGGCAUUAGAGCCCUUCUAUUCUAUUCUUCGCAAUGUCACUUUCAGUUUUUAACAAUUCUUAGCACCAUUUUCCUUACACUCACCUGUG